AGCAUCAGCUGCCCAGCCUUAGCACUUUGAGAAACUGGGAAGUGCAGACAGCUUAAACUGGCGGAGUCCGAUCAGAUGAGGCAAGAGAGGGUGCAGCCUCAGGGACGGUGGGCAUUGAACUUCCAGUGGUUGGAAUACCUCCACUCCCAGUCUUGAUGGCUCCCUAGCAUUCCCAACCCUGGGGCUUACCGUGGCUAUAGAGGAAGAUUGCAAGCUAGCAUUUUCCAAGCGUUUUCUGCACACUGCCCCUGUGAGGACAUACUCCUCAGACUGAAUUCUGCAGAUUCACAAUGUGCGAAAUAUCAGUCCACAAUAGAUUGAAAAUUUUAAAAACUGGUCCUUAAUCACAGAUCACGUGAGAAGCAUUGCUCUCAAGUCAGCCUCCUCUUUACCUGCUUCUGGACAGUCUCACGCUCAAAAUAAAGGCCUAUGGAGAAAAAGGUUAAAAAUGAUUUUGUGGAACUGUGUUAAUUACAUUGUAAAAAGUGUUUAAUGACAUGGAAAAAUUGUCAUGACAUGUAGAAAACAAGGCAGAUUACAGAAUAGAAUGCACAUGGGGCCAGCCCAGUGGUGCAGUGGUUAAGUUCACACGUUCUGCUUCGGCAGUCCAGGGUUCACCAGUUCGGAUCCCGGGUGCAGACCUGCAUACUGCUUGUUAAGCCAUGCUGUGGCAGGUGUCCCACGUAUAAAAAAAUGUAGAGGAAGAUGGGCACGGAUAUUAGCUCAGAGCCAGUCUUCCUCAGCAAAAAGAAGAGGAUUGGCAGUAGAUGUUAGCUCAGGGCUAAUCUUCCU
rnacentral:lncRNA from 1 species